rnacentral:rRNA from 1 species
CGCUAGCGGCAGGCCUAACACAUGCAAGUCGAGGGGCAGCAUAUCGCUUCGGUGAUGAUGGCGACCGGCGCACGGGUGAGUAACACGUUUGCAACCUACCCUUAACUGGGGGAUAGCCCGGAGAAAUUUGGAUUAAUACCCCAUAAUGUUUUAGAACGGCAUCAUUCUUUUAUUAAAGCUCCGGCGGUUAAGGAUGGGCAUGCGUGACAUUAGUUUGUUGGUGAGGUAACAGCUCACCAAGACUACGAUGUCUAUGGGGUCUGAGAGGAUGAUCCCACACACUGGUACUGAGACACGGACCAGACUCCUACGGGAGGCAGCAGUGAGGAAUAUUGGUCAAUGGACGCAAGUCUGAACCAGCCAUGCCGCGUGCAGGAUGACGGCCCUAUGGGUUGUAAACUGCUUUUAUAUAGGAAGAAACCCCCCUACGUGUAGGGGGCUGACGGUACUGUAAGAAUAAGCAUCGGCUAACUCCGUGCCAGCAGCCGCGGUAAUACGGAGGAUGCAAGCGUUAUCCGGAUUUAUUGGGUUUAAAGGGUGCGUANGCG